rnacentral:rRNA from 1 species
AUUGAACGCUGGCGGCAGGCCUAACACAUGCAAGUCGGGCGGAGCGGCGGACGGGUGAGUAAUGACUAGGAAUCUGCAUGGUAGUGGGGGAUAACGUCCGGAAACGGGCGCUAAUACCGCAUACUAUCAGAUGAGCCUAUGUCGGAGUAGCUGGGGGGUGGGGUAAAGGCCUACCAAGGCGACGAUCCGUAACUGGUCUGAGAGGAUGAUCAGUCACACUGGAACUGCGACACGGCACAGACUCCUACGUGAGGCAGCAGUGGGGAAUAUUGGCCAAUGGGCGAAAGCCUGAUCCAGCCAUGCCGCGUGUGUGAAGAAGGUCUUCGGAUUGUAAAGCACUUUAAGUUGGGAGGCGUUACCAACAGAAUAAGCACCGGCUAACUUCGUGCCAGCAGCCGCGGUAAUUC